UGUGGUUUAAUUCGAUGCAACGCGAAGAACCUUACCUGGUCUUGACAUCCCGGAGACCCUUAGGAAACUAGGGGUGCUUCCAUCUGGAAGAAUCUGGAGACAGGUGCUGCAUGGCUGUCGUCAGCUCGUGUCGUGAGAUGUUGGGUUAAGUCCCGCAACGAGCGCAACCCUUGCCUUUAGUUGCCAGCAGUUCGGCUGGGCACUCUAAAGGGACUGCCGGUGUUAAACCGGAGGAAGUGGGGAUGACGUCAAGUCCUCAUGGCCUUUAUGACCAGGGCUACACACGUACUACAAUGGCCGAUACAAAGGGCAGCGACACUGCGAGGUGAAGCCAAUCCCGUAAAAUCGGUCUCAGUCCGGAUUGGAGUCUGCAACUCGACUCCAUGAAGUUGGAAUCGCUAGUAAUCGUGGAUCAGCAUGCCACGGUGAAUACGUUCCCGGGCCUU
rnacentral:rRNA from 1 species